UACGAAGGGGGCUAGCGUUGCUCGGAAUCACUGGGCGUAAAGGGUGCGUAGGCGGGUCUUUAAGUCAGGGGUGAAAUCCUGGAGCUCAACUCCAGAACUGCCUUUGAUACUGAGGAUCUUGAGUUCGGGAGAGGUGAGUGGAACUGCGAGUGUAGAGGUGAAAAUUCGUAGAUAUUCGCAAGAACACCAGUGGCGAAGGCGGACUCACUG
rnacentral:rRNA from 1 species